rnacentral:rRNA from 1 species
UAGGGAAUCUUCGGCAAUGGACGAAAGUCUGACCGAGCAACGCCGCGUGAGUGAAGAAGGAUUUCGGAUCGUAAAACUCUGUUGUUAGAGAAGAACAAGGACGUUAGUAACUGAACGUCCCCUGACGGUAUCUAACCAGAAAGCAACGGCUAACUACGUGCCAGCAGCCGCGGUAAUACGUAGGUGGCAAGCGUUGUCCGGAUUUAUUGGGCGUAUAGCGAGCGCAGGCGGUUUCUUAAGUCUGAAGUGAAAGCCCCCGGCUCAACCGGGGAAUGUCAUUGGAAACUGGGAGACUUGAGUGCGGAAGAGGAGAGUGGAAUUCCAUGUGUAGCGGUGAAAUGCGUAGAUAUAUGGAGGAACACCAGUGGCGAAGGCAGCUCUCUGAUCUGUAACUGACGCUGAGGCUCGAAAGCGUGGGGAGCAAACAGG